rnacentral:rRNA from 1 species
CCUACGGGUGGCUGCAGUGGGGAAUAUUGGACAAUGGGGGCAACCCUGAUCCAGCCAUGCCGCGUGUGUGAAGAAGGCCCUCGGGUUGUAAAGCACUUUCAGUGAGGAAGAACGCCUGGUGGUUAAUACCCAUCAGGAAAGACAUCACUCACAGAAGAAGCACCGGCUAACUCCGUGCCAGCAGCCGCGGUAAUACGGAGGGUGCGAGCGUUAAUCGGAAUUACUGGGCGUAAAGCGCGCGUAGGUGGCUUGAUAAGCCGGUUGUGAAAGCCCCGGGCUCAACCUGGGAACGGCAUCCGGAACUGUCAAGCUAGAGUGCAGGAGAGGAAGGUAGAGUUCCCGGUGUAGCGGUGAAAUGCGUAGAGAUCGGGAGGAAUACCAGUGGCGAAGGCGGCCUUCUGGACUGACACUGACACUGAGGUGCGAAAGCGUGGGUAGCAAACAGGAUUAGAUACCCCGGUAGUC